UUUGUUGAUUGCAAGCAGAGACAUCAGAAAGGGAGAGAGGCUAUAUUAUGAUUAUAAUGGUUAUGAGAAUGAAUAUCCAACAGAGCACUUCGUCUGACCUCAUAGGAUCCAAAGAUCUGUUUACUAUACAGAUUUUUGUUUAACUGAUUUGUCCAGUUUUUGCGUCUGACCUCGUAGGAUCCAAAGAUCUGUUUACCCUACAGAUUUUUGUAUUAACUGAUUUGUCCAGUUUUUGUUUCUAAUAUUUUUUAAUUUAUCGACACAACUCAAUGCUCUGUAAACACAGCGGCAGGGUGGAGGGCAAUGAUUUUGUCUUGGGUACAGCAAAUGCAAAAGAUCCAUAGUUUUUUGGUCUAAUUGUCCAUUCUGACAUUUCUACCUUUAAUAUAGUUUUUGGCCUCGUGAAGAUGUGAAGCUUCUGUGUAUACACAUAUUAGCUAUAUGGCGUUGAUUUAUCGUGUACAUCC
rnacentral:lncRNA from 1 species